UUAUUUAAAUUUAAAAUAAAAAAAUUAAACAUUAAAUGUAAUCAUUAAAAUUAAAAAAUUUGGCGGUAUUUUAUUAUAUUAGAGGAACUUGAAAUUUAAUUUGAUACUCCACGAAUAGAAUUACCUGAUUUAAAUUUUAUAUAUUGUUGUUGAUAAAUUAUUUUAGGAAAAUUAUAAUUUUGAUUUAAAUAUUUUAAUAAAUCAAAUCAAAAUGUAGAUUAGUUAGGGAUAUUUGAGUUACAAUUAAUUUAAAUAUAAUAAUUAAAAUUUUAAAAUUUAUUAGUAUUGGAUUUAAUUGUAAAUAUUUAAAAAUUUAAGUAUUGAAUGUUAAUUAAAAUAUG
rnacentral:rRNA from 1 species